UAGUCUGGGAAACUGCCUGAUGGAGGGGGGUAACUGCUGGAAACGGUAGCUAAUACCGCAUAAUGUCGCAAGACCAAAGUGGGGGACCUUCGGGCCUCAUGCCAUCAGAUGUGCCCAGAUGGGAUUAGCUAGUAGGUGGGGUAACGGCUCACCUAGGCGACGAUCCCUAGCUGGUCUGAGAGGAUGACCAGCCACACUGGAACUGAGACACGGUCCAG
rnacentral:rRNA from 1 species